UUGAUAUAUAUGUUAAAUGUACUAGGUAUUUCUAGUUUUCUGCCUGAAAUAAACAUCUGUUAUUUGUCUCUUCAGUGUCUCUUUCCACCCACUGGAAAUAGCACUUCAUACACAUUCCAAUGGGCUGCAAAUCACAGCACCUCUUUCCACAGCAGAGGAAUAGUAGACUUAUAACUUCUCAGCCAUGGUCUUUCUCUUGUGUCUGAGGGUUGAAAAGAUGUAUCCCUAGAUGUCACAAAGGUAAUGUCAUUACCACAUGGAGAAUUCAGGGGUUUUGCACAAUACACAGAAGCCAAGUCGAAAGACUAAAAGAUAGAUGGACACGCAUAAAUAUGAUGGUAACCCCAGCUCCAUUACAUUUAUUGGUUACAUCUCCCAGACUGUAGCCAAAAAAUAGGGAAGACAAGAGAGAGGUGGCAUUUGCAAUUACCAAAAAAGGCACUUGAGUCUUAUAUGAGAGAAGAGAUGUUUUUCCCAAAACCUAAAUUCAAACAGUUUGGCUUUCAUUAAAAAAAAAAAAAAAGACUGUUUAGAAGUCAAUCACUUGAGCAAAAAUUUGUAUAGCAUAUGAUGCGAGACAGAACACAAUGUUGAUGGCUUAUCAGAAAAUUAUUAUAAUUUUGCCUACUCAGUUGACAUCAAGCUGUACAUUCAAAAGAAUAUAGAUCUUCAAUGAGGAAGAAUACCUGAAGUAUUGAAAUAUCUUUGCCCUGAUUUAUAUUCAAAGGCAAAAGCAUAUUGAAUUACAACCAGGGCUGCUUAUCUAACUGUGCAUCAGAUAAGUUUACUUGAACUAUAGCUGCCCCAAGGCUAUUACCUAGGGAUCAUCAGCAAACUUAUCCCCAGAUAGUUUGCAUUUCUAUUACUCGAUAACACCUGAAUCUUCCACCAGGUUUAAGCAAGACUCAUGAAACACAAAAGAUCCUAGGUCAGUCUUCUGGAAACCACAGACUCCCAUCUUCCUGGAGGAGAGUCCAACUGAGAUUCAAAUUCCCAUGAAAAUAAUGUGUGAGGAUGUCUCUCCAAGACCAAAAGUGAGCUAUUGCAGUGAGUGGUGCAUCAUGUAUGAAUGCCUUUGGCUCUCUCAUUGACCCAUUUUUUACUAUUUGAUGCAUAAUUAAUGUUGAGGUCAGAGUUGUCACAUUCUCUUACUUACUUCUUUGCAGCUAUUGGCUUUCCUGGUAGCAAUUUAAACCACUACAUCAGCUUGAAGUGGUAGCACCUAAUUUGGAAGAAGGGGAAGAUUUCUGUAUCCAUAGGAAAUAAGGCCUAGGGGCAUACAAGCUAAAUUUGCAACAAAAAGACCUGAAUUUGACCAGAUUUUUGACUUUGAGUUUUAUAUUUAUCUUUUCUGUGUUUAAGUCGCUUCUUAUAAAUAAGAAUUAUUAUGUCCUCCCACCAUACACACAGAAUUUUUGUGAAAAACAAGUUAAAAAUUAUGAAAGCAUUUUGAAAAUAGUAAAGGCUUUGUAAAAGCAAGAGAUGGCAUAGAAAGUACUUCCCCAAAAGCAAUGGCACCUCUGCACGCAUUUUCAGACUUCUGACGGGUAACUAGACCAACUCUAUUGGCAUUUGCUUUAAAAGGAUCUCUGCAUUUAAAAAAAAAAAAAAGAACCAUCAAGGGUGGCUGAACCUUAUUUCCUGAGGAUAAUUUUUCAAAACCUCAUACUGUAAAAUAAUGUGAUAGGUAGAAUAACUUCACAAAUAACCAUAUUGCACAUGUACUCUAUAGACACUUCUUCAAACAUGUACUAAAUUCACA
rnacentral:lncRNA from 10 species